rnacentral:rRNA from 1 species
GGUUCGGAAGAAAGAUGUGAAAUCCCAGAGCUUAACUUUGGAACUGCUUCUUUA